UAUAUAUAUAUAUUAAUGGGUGGCCAUUCGACUUUUGUAUCUUAUAAUAUACUAAUCAUAUAAUGAAAUGUCGUGUCAAAUAAAUUUUCCUAUUUUUACUUUAUGUAUCUGUCAGUAUCAAACAUUACUUUGAUGGUUUUUUUUCGUAUUCUUAAAACUAUUUAUAUAUUUUUCUGGAGGAAACCUAUUUUAUUUUGAAUAUAUAUACAAAAUAUUAGUAUUGUCAAUAAAUAAAAAAUGUUUAAUGGAAAACCCGAUUGCUGCUGCAAAAUUCGCGGAUUCGGCUUUUCGUGCACAGAAAGGGCUGGAAUCCGAAGAUCAUUUUAUGAUAGGAAAGGGAUAUCCGAAGGGCCACCACGUCUUUGCUUAUCCACCGUAGAAAAAAAGGACGAUAAACAUUAUUUUAUGUAAGCCCCUUUUACUUUUAAUUGUAAUGUAAUUUUCAUCUAAUGAUAUUUCGUACAUAUUAUUAGAAUUCCU